rnacentral:rRNA from 1 species
AUGGAGGAAGAAGAUGAUGUAUGGUGCCACGGGCAAGAAGAUGGGGAGCCGCCUGACAAUGGCGGCGAUAGGGGCUGGCUGGACGCCCUGUACACACAGGAGGCAUGCCCUUUGCCCACGUUGACCACAACGGAAGUUUCUGCAGGUGGGGCCAACCCAAGAUUAAACAAGACUCUUGCAGGGGCUGUCUGCUCUUGGAGGGGCAGUGCCUGGCCGUCCUUCAUGCAAGUGCGUGCCACUGGGUCUCUUGUUGCUUGGCAUGCCAAAAAGGUGGGCUGCCAAAAGCAAAAAUAUGUGUCUACCUAG